rnacentral:piRNA from 1 species
UAUGUACUACUACUCACGGUG